UGCCAAAGGAGAAUUACCCUG
rnacentral:miRNA from 1 species